rnacentral:RNase_P_RNA from 1 species
UCAGGUGGCUGGACGGCCGCCGGCCUGCGUCCUUGCGGCGUGGGCCGGAGGAAAGUCCGGGCUCCACGGGAACACGGUGCCGGCCAACGGCCGGCGGGGGGAUGGGCAUGCCGCAAGGCGUGCUCCGAGCCUCAGGGAAAGUGCCACAGAAAGCAAACCGCCCGGCCCGGCGAAAGCCGCGCCAGGCAAGGGUGAAAGGGUGCGGUAAGAGCGCACCGCGGCGCCGGCAACGGGGCCGGCAUGGCAAACCCCACCGGGAGCAAGGCCGAAUAGGGGUGACCGGCGGGCUAUCCUUCGGGAUGGUGCCGCAGGGGCGUUCCCGCCCCGUCGCCCGGGUUGGCCGCGAGAGCCUUGCCGUAAGGCGGGCGAUAGAGGAAUGGUCGUCCCAUCCCCGGAAUUCCGGAGGUGGACAGAACCCGGCUUACAGGCCGCCUGGCGCA